GACGAACGCUGGCGGCGUGCUUAACACAUGCAAGUCGAGCGGUAAGGCCCUUUCGGGGGUACACGAGCGGCGAACGGGUGAGUAACACGUGGGUGACCUGCCCUCAGCUCUGGGAUAAGCCUGGGAAACCGGGUCUAAUACUGGAUAUGACUCCAUGACGCAUGUUGUGGGGUGGAAAGCCUUGUGCGGCUGAGGAUGGGCCCGCGGCCUAUCAGCUUGUUGGUGGGGUGANGGCCUACCAAGGCGACGACGGGUAGCCGGCCUGAGAGGGCGACCGGCCACACUGGGACUGAGACACGGCCCAGACUCCUACGGGAGGCAGCAGUGGGGAAUCUUGCGCAAUGGGCGAAAGCCUGACGCAGCGACGCCGCGUGAGGGAUGACGGCCUGGUUGU
rnacentral:rRNA from 1 species